rnacentral:lncRNA from 1 species
AGUUGCCAAAAAUCAGAUGCUUAUUGAAGAAGAAGUACAGAAAUUAAAAAGAUACAAGAUUGAGAAUAUCAGAAGGAAGCAUAAUUAUCUGCCUUUCAUUAUGGAAUUGUUAAAGACUUUAGCAGAACACCAGCAGUUAAUACCACUAGUAGAAAAGGUAAAAAAACAGAACGCAAAGAAAGCUCAGGAAACCAAAUGAAGAUGUUUUCAGAUAUGUACACAUUUCUGCUUCUGCACAUAUUUUCAUGGAAACCAUUAUGUAUAAAGAACUUAGAGCAACAUCCUAAUUGGCUCAGUGCACGUUUGGCAAUAGUGCCAGCCUGUCUUGUCUUUAAUGCAUGGAUUCAUAAACUUCUUCCCUACCUGCAUCAUGUGCAUGUAGUGCAUAUUAAAUGAAAGUGAUAUUAAGAAUGCUUUCCCAAAUUCCAUUAUUUGACAUUGAGUCUGACAACUGUUAGUUUUCUGGUUGUCUAACUACCAUAUGAAGCUAGAAAAUGCACAAACGAUAUUCCUUAUCUGUAAUUUAAAUACUUAAAAUUUGCAAUUGUCAGAUCUUGAUUAAACUGGUUGUCUUAUUUCUUCUCAUCAUUAACGGAAAAAAAAUCAGUAUUUCUAUCUUUGAUAUCUAAGUGUUUUGAGGAUUUUAAAACUGAAUUUUAUCUGCUAUACCAGUUAUUUGAGAAAGUAUGAUUUUAAUGUAAAUCAUUUAAAAAGGACAAAAGUAUAAUUUCCAGUGAUUUUCACUGCUGUCAGUAGAAAAGUAAUAAACAUCUCAAUUUUAUUU